GCCGCCGCCGCCGCUCUCUUCCCCGUAGACCCUCCCCCAUCCAAAGACCAGCGAGCGCGGAGAGCUGGAGACGCCGGAACGAACCCUCGCCUGCCACCAUGGUGCUCCAGAACGACAUCGACCUGCUGAACCCGCCGGCGGAGCUGGAGAAGCUCAAGCACAAGAAGAAGCGCCUUGUCCAGUCCCCCAACUCCUUCAUGGAUGUCAAGUGCCAAAGCUGCU